rnacentral:rRNA from 1 species
CCUACGGGGCGCAGCAGUGGGGGAUAUUGCACAAUGGGGGAAACCCUGAUGCAGCGACGCCGCGUGGGUGAAGAAGUAUUUCGGUAUGUAAAGCCCUAUCAGCAGGGAAGAAAGAAGACGGUACCUGACUAAGAAGCCCCGGCUAACUACGUGCCAGCAGCCGCGGUAAUACGUAGGGGGCGAGCGUUAUCCGGAUUCACUGGGUGUAAAGGGAGCGUAGACGGCCGUGCAAGCCAGGAGUGAAAGCCCGGGGCCCAACCCCGGGACUGCUCUUGGAACUGUGCGGCUGGAGUGCGGGAGGGGCG